GAUGAACGCUAGCGGCAGGCUUAAUACAUGCAAGUCGUGGGGCAGCAGGUUUGUAGCAAUACAGAUGCUGGCGACCGGCAAACGGGUGCGGAACACGUACAGAACCUUCCCUUUGAGCGGGGAAUAGCCCAGAGAAAUUUGGAUUAAUACCCCAUAGUAUAAUGAAGUGGCAUCACUUUAUAUUAAAGAUUUAUCACUCGAAGAUGGCUGUGCGGCUGAUUAGGUAGUUGGCGGGGUAAAGGCCCACCAAGCCUGCGAUCAGUAACUGGUGUGAGAGCACGACCAGUCACACGGGCACUGAGACACGGGCCCGACUCCUACGGGAGGCAGCAGUAAGGAAUAUUGGUCAAUGGAGCAACUCUGAACCAGCCAUGCCGCGUGGAGGAUGAAGGUCCUCUGGA
rnacentral:rRNA from 1 species